rnacentral:lncRNA from 1 species
GUUCCAUUCUCUCACAAAUCUCUAAUUAGUGUAAACAUCCUAACCACAUAAAAGAAGAUAAUGUUCAAUUAGGUGUAAAAUUUGUUCUACACAUUCUAUCUGAAAUCUGAGACACCCUUUUGUAGAUAAUGGCCAUAGGAACAACAUAUAAUAAAAUCAACCCUCUAGGGAUACCUAUGCAGAAGCUAAUUUCAUUUGAAAGUGGAAAUUUGGUGAAAAAUAUUUUAGAC